rnacentral:rRNA from 1 species
AUUGAACGCUGGCGGCAGGCUUAACACAUGCAAGUCGAGCGGGGAAGGGUAGCUUGCUACCUAACCUAGCGGCGGACGGGUGAGUAAUGCUUAGGAAUCUGCCAUUUAGUGGGGGACAACAUUCCGAAAGGAAUGCUAAUACCGCAUACGUCCUACGGGAGAAAGCAGGGGAUCUUCGGACCUUGCGCUAAAUGAUGAGCCUAAGUCGGAUUAGCUAGUUGGUGGGGUAAAGGCCUACCAAGGCGACGAUCUGUAGCGGGUCUGAGAGGAUGAUCCGCCACACUGGGACUGAGACACGGCCCAGACUCCUACGGGAGGCAGCAGUGGGGAAUAUUGGACAAUGGGCGGAAGCCUGAUCCAGCCAUGCCGCGUGUGUGAAGAAGGCCUUAUGGUUGUAAAGCACUUUAAGCGAGGAGGAGGCUACUUAGAUUAAUACUCUAGGAUAGUGGACGUUACUCGCAGAAUAAGCACCGGCUAACUCUGUGCCAGCAGCCGCGGUAA